rnacentral:RNase_P_RNA from 1 species
AGAACGUUCCGGGUGACCGCCGUCUCAUUUAGAGAGGGAGGAAAGUCCGGGCUCCUCCGGACAGAGUGCUGGGUAACACCCAGGCCCUGUUACAGGGGACGGAAAGUGGCACAGAAACGAUACCGCCCAGCUAACCUAUUGGUUCGUUGUGGUAAGGGUGAAAUCGGACGGUAAGAGCGUCCGGUCGUAUGCGGUGACGCAUCGAUGGUCAAACCCCACUUGGAGCAAGGCCGAAUAGGGGGACAAUGGGAGUCCGGCCCGUCCCCGGGUUGGCUGCUUGACCUCAAUGGAGACAUUAGCUCUUAUAGAGCUCAAGGGAUAUUAUCCCAUGGAGGCUAGAUAGAUGGUCACCGGUCUAUGUUACUUGUAUCAUAGACUACAGGACCCGGCUUAUAGGUUCGUUCUGCCC